GGCAGUACGUGUGGGAUAUAGCAAGAUACCCAAACCGGGUGGGUCCAAUGCUAGCACAGCAAACUUUAUGCCCAAAGGCCGUUUACGAGGAUGAGAAUAUCUCAAGCCUGUAGAGAAUAACGAAGAUGUGGAAAGGCAGCCCAAGAUGCUGCCUUACAGACAUCUACUGGAGAAACAAGAGCUCUACCCUCCAGGGGCAGCC